rnacentral:rRNA from 1 species
CGCUGGCGGCGUGCCUAAUACAUGCAAGUCGAACGGUCUUUCUAUGGAAGCUUGCUUCCACUGAGAAGAUAGUGGCGAACGGGUGAGUAACACGUGGGUAACCUGCCCAUAAGAGGGGGAUAACAUCCGGAAACGGGUGCUAAUACCGCAUAGUUUUCUUGAUCGCAUGAUCGGGAAAGGAAAGACGGCCUUUGUGCUGUCGCUUAUGGAUGGACCCGCGGCGUAUUAGUUAGUUGGUGAGGUAACGGCUCACCAAGACGAUGAUACGUAGCCGACCUGAGAGGGUGAUCGGCCACAUUGGGACUGAGACACGGCCCAAACUCCUACGGGAGGCAGCAGUAGGGAAUCUUCCGCAAUGGACGAAAGUCUGACGGAGCAACGCCACGUGAGUGAAAGAAGGUUUUCGGAUCGUAAAACUCUGUUGUCAGAGAAGAACAAGUUGGAGAGUAACUGCUCCAGCCUUGACGGUAUCUGACCAGAAAGCCACGGCUAACUACGUGCCAGCCGCCGC